rnacentral:rRNA from 1 species
AAUAGAUACCCCGGUAGUCCACGCCGUAAACGUUGGGCGCUAGGUGUGGGGCUCAUUCCACGAGUUCCGUGCCGCAGCUAACGCAUUAAGCGCCCCGCCUGGGGAGUACGGCCGCAAGGCUAAAACUCAAAGGAAUUGACGGGGCCCGCACAAGCGGCGGAGCAUGUUGCUUAAUUCGAUGCAACGCGAAGAACCUUACCUAGGCUUGACAUGCACGGAAAUCUCGCAGAGAUGCGGGGUCCGUAAGGGCCGUGCACAGGUGGUGCAUGGUUGUCGUCAGCUCGUGUCGUGAGAUGUUGGGUUAAGUCCCGCAACGAGCGCAACCCUCGUUCUAUGUUGCCAGCACGUCAUGGUGGGGACUCAUAGGAGACUGCCGGGGUCAACUCGGAGGAAGGUGGGGAUGACGUCAAAUCAUCAUGCCCCUUAUGUCUAGGGCUGCGAACAUGCUACAAUGGCCGGUACAAAGGGCUGCGAUACUGUGAGGUGGAGCGAAUCCCAAAAAGCCGGUCUCAGUUCGGAUUGGGGUCG